UACGGGGGGAGCAAGCGUUGUUCGGAUUUACUGGGCGUAAAGGGCGCGUAGGCGGCCACCGCAAGUCAAUUGUGAAAUCUCCGGGCUUAACUCGGAAAGGUCAACUGAUACUGCGGGGCUAGAGUGCGGAAGGGGCAACUGGAAUUCUCGGUGUAGCGGUGAAAUGCGUAGAUAUCCGGAGGAACACCGGUGGCGAAGGCGGCUUCCUGGACCGACACUGACGCUGAGGCGCCGAAAGCUAGGGGAGCAAACGGG
rnacentral:rRNA from 1 species